UUUAAUAUCCAUGCAGUUUUUUCAUUGCAAAAGCAUAUAAGCGCAUCCUUCACUAUAAAAUGAAGGGAAAAGGCUGUAUGUUUUGGCUCUAGGGAGCGCAAACCUAGAAGGUGGGCGCUUAAAAACCAAACACAUUGUUAGCCUUCAGCACAAUAAUCAAAUCAACACUGUCCAACGCUUCAGUUUGCUGCCCACAAAAAGAUCAUAUAGACCAGUAUCGUGGCAGCCGGUGCUCUCUGCUCGCAAUCUGCGUUACCAUAAGACAGAAAAAGUACAUCGGAACGGGAGGCUCUGGAAACGAUUCCGGUGGCUCACAAGUCACAUCUGUGCCUGCUGGCCAAGGAGAAAAGGCUCAUUGUUGCGGACGGACUCUCUCGUGAAUUACCUCUGCCACGCCGAGCGGUCUCCCACGGAUGUAGGUCGUCUACAGUAGGGGAUCUCAAUUGGUCUCCCACACGAGUGGGUGCCCCUUUGGAAGAUCCAGUCACACUGUCUCUAGAUGGGCACCGUGCGUACAGUGCCACUUGUGCUUGUGCAAGCAUUGAGCUUUUGAUCAAAAAAUAUUACUAGCUAUGACUCGAUGGUUCUGAUCAAA